CUACGGGUCGCACCAGUGGGGAAUAUUGCACAAUGGGCGCAAGCCUGAUGCAGCCAUGCCGCGUGUAUGAAGAAGGCCUUCGGGUUGUAAAGUACUUUCAGCGGGGAGGAAGGGAGUAAAGUUAAUACCUUUGCUCAUUGACGUUACCCGCAGAAGAAGCACCGGCUAACUCCGUGCCAGCAGCCGCGGUAAUACGGAGGGUGCAAGCGUUAAUCGGAAUUACUGGGCGUAAAGCGCACGCAGGCGGUUUGUUAAGUCAGAUGUGAAAUCCCCGGGCUCAACCUGGGAACUGCAUCUGAUACUGGCAAGCUUGAGUCUCGUAGAGGGGGGUAGAAUUCCAGGUGUAGCGGUGAAAUGCAUAGAGAUCUGGAGGAAUACCGGUGGCGAAGGCGGCCCCCUGGACGAAGACUGACGCUCAGGUGCGAAAGCGUGGGGAGCAAACAGGAUUAGAUACCCUAGUAGUC
rnacentral:rRNA from 1 species